UACGUAGGGCGCAAGCGUUGUCCGGAAUUAUUGGGCGUAAAGAGCUCGUAGGCGGUCUGUUACGUCUGCUGUGAAAACCCGGGGCUUAACCCUGGGCUUGCAGUGGAUACGGGCAGACUAGAGGCAGGUAGGGGAGAAUGGAAUUCCCGGUGUAGCGGUGAAAUGCGCAGAUAUCGGGAGGGACACCGGUGGCGAAGGCGGUUCUCUGGGCCUGACCUGACGCUGAGGAGCGAAAGCGUGGGGAGCGAACAGG
rnacentral:rRNA from 1 species